rnacentral:rRNA from 1 species
CAGUCGCCACGGUAAAACGAAGGGUGCAAGCGUUGUUCGGAAUUACUGGGCGUAAAGCGCACGUAGGCGGCUUGGUAAGUUAGAGGUGAAAGCCCGGAGCUCAACUCCGGAAUUGCCUUUAAGACUGCCGAGCUAGCAGGUGAGAGAGGUAAGUGGAAUUCCGAGUGUAGAGGUGAAAUUCGUAGAUAUUCGGAAGAACACCAGUGGCGAAGGCGGCUUACUGGCUCAUACUGGACGCUGAGGUGCGAAAGCGUGGGGAGCAAACAGGAUUAGAUACCCCUGUAGUCCCUGUCUCUUAUAC